CUGCAUUGCGCCGCCGGGGGGACGGCGUAGUAGGCCUUGACAACUUUAAUGCCUAUUAUGACCCUUCCUUGAAACAAGCCCGUCGCUCCCUCUUGGAACGCGCAGACGUAUUUGUUGUCAAUGGGGACAUCAAUGACCCUACUCUGUUAAAGAAGCUCUUUGAAUUAGUCCAAUUCACUCACGUAAUGCACCUUGCAGCCCAAGCAGGGGUCCGUUACGCGAGUGAAUUGAACCAAAUCAAAGAGCUUC
rnacentral:misc_RNA from 1 species